AUAACGUUUCUGGUUACUCAGAGUUAUCUCAUUUGUGCUGUGGCAGGUGACCAGUUUCUUUGCCUCUUUUAUCCAACACAGGUAGUCACUUGUGGUGAUGCGACACCAGAGAAAAGGAACAGGAGGCAGAAGACAGGAACCAUUCACUGGCAAGUUGUGAUAUGGGGUUUCUCCCAGGCUACGACUCUAGUGAGAUUAAAGGAUAGAAAAGAGCAUUCCCAUUCAAAAGCAUUUAAGGGCUGUAAACAAAAGCAGGGAAAGUCAGACAGCUUGGCGCAUUGACUUGAACUCCAUGUUUGAAGAAGGGGUAGUCACAGCCUCCAUGUGGUGUGGCAUUCAUGAUGCAGUGCCCAGAACAGAUGUCAGGAGCGAUGGGACACCAAAGGCGGAAGAACCUAUGUCCCCAGGCUACAGCAAAGCUCCCAGCCCUAUGAAAAUCAUCUAGCCUGCUCUGAGCCACAUGCCUAGAGGUCACAGAGGCAUGCGGGAAAGUGAGAGGAAGUGGAAACGUGCUACAAAAAGGGCUCAAAGCAAUGUGCUCACCACCGGAAAAAAAAAAUAAAAAUAAACACCCUCAGAAAUAGUGUAACUGA
rnacentral:lncRNA from 1 species